GGACACACGUGCUGGCUGACGAUUUAUUUUGUGUCUUUGCUGAUACAGACCAGCUUGUGGUGAUAGGCUGUAGUUCCUGAAAUAGUCUUCUCUACUCUGGAGAACUUAAUUACUGGCCACAUGGGAUAUAAACAUUUGGAUGAUAGGGUUGUACAAGGACAGCUCUUGCAGAAGCAAGAGUUGCAUAUAAGGCCUUCUGCACUCCUUUAACCCCUGAGCUUGCUGAUUUUCUGCUGUUAGAUCUAAGCAAUACACGGGUAAAGUUGAGAGUUUGUUUUCUAUAAGGUAACAGCUAAACCAGCAGAGAAGCUGGCUCUGCAUUUCAGUCUUCAGCAUGUUUCAAUAGGUUUGACUGGAAAAUCCCGCUAUUAAGUAUACACCACCCUUCCUGUGUGACACUAGAGGUAAGUUUCCAAUGUGACUUAGUAUUUUUUCCCUUCCAGAACAGUAACGUAGCAGCUUGGUGGGAUUCUCAGCAGGCAGUGUGCUCUUUGCUGAAAAGUUUCCAAGUUUCUCCGGAAUAUUUCAGAGACUAGUGAAGCUGGGAAGCUUUUGAUUUCAACUGCCCCAGAUGGCUCAGCUGCUUGUAGGAUGGCAUGUUUUGACCACAGUCACUCAGCGCUGUCAGUGUGCGUAACCAGCCGUCUUGUGAAGGUGCCUGGUGUACUAGCUGUCCCUGUGGCCUGUGUGUUAGCAGCAGCAGAAAAGGCACAGACAACUGACAGUCAUCUAAAUCCUACCAGAUGGAAAUCCCCCACUUAUUAUUAUACCUGGAGGAUUAGUAAAAAGGAGGAUGAGAACUCUCACCAAAGCCUGCUGAAGGCUGCGUCCAUCCCUGAUGUCAUAAAAGAUGAAACGACGAGGAUGAUGAGGGAGGUGAGUUGCUUAACACUUCUCGCUUUCAGCAUUCAGGAGUUGAACAUGACGCUGUUG